UACAUACAUACAUACACUCGGACAUCAUCUUGAAUCUAGUCAGAAUAGUUUCCUAGAACCUCAAAAUGUCGACAUCUGUUGGAAUUCCAAUUUUCGCGAAUCGGGGCGAAAGCAAUAACUUCCCAAAAUUUUUGAUAAUCAUCGAUUUUCUUGGCGGGAAGUUAAAAAUAUAUUCUGAUACAGUUGUACUACAAAACAUGGCUUAAAGACCCAGAUUAAAAGAAAUGGUUCGAAACGAUUUGCAAUGUUGAAUGCCCAGAAAAAGGAUGAUUCAAAAGUAUUAAAAGUAUUCAAAAGCAUUAAAAAGUAUUAAAAUUUUUUUUGUUCUAAUCGCUUUAAAUCGUUUCUUUUAAUAAGAAGAAACCAUUUUCUAGUUCAUGAUAAUCAUAAUCAUUUUUACGUAUCAAUAAAGUCAUAUGAACAAUUACAAUCAUAUAUAUAUAUAUAUAUAUAUAUAUAUAUAUAUAUAUAUAGAUUUACACAAAUAUAAGAACUAUAACUCCUACCAUCGUUAUAAAUAAAGGGGCAGUUUUUCGGUACAAGUUUAUUUUUAUCCGGGUUUAAAUUAAUAUUGCUGGUGGUUUCAUGACAGUAAUCCCUAACAAUUGAUUCUACCGAUCCAAGAUAAUAUAUUCUUAUAGUUGUUUUUAUAUCUUAAACUAAUAAUAAUGAGAAUAUUCUAUUAUUUUCACAAUAAUAAUCAAAAGUUUUUAUCAACUAAAAUGAACUGUCGAUGGGAUCAGAUGCCGGUAGGAUCAAUUUGUAAAGAUUACUUGGUGUGGUAUAAAAUUGAUGGGAUGUUGACGGCACACCAUCGCUGGUAUAUCUAUAUAUUAUUAAUGUAUUUAAAGAUUUAUUUAAGCCCGGAUAAAAAUAAAUGUGGUUUGAAAAACUGGCCCUAAAAAAUUCAUGGUUUUAUGAAUAUUAGAUAGAAUAUUUUUUCAUGUUCGAAAAGAAUUUAAUAUUCUUAGUUGACAUGGAAAUACUUACUUUUAGGUUAUGUAAAUAUUAAGUCUCGAAUUAAAAAUAGUUAAUCAAGAAAAUCGAUAAAAGGAACGAUUGACACAAUAAUAUUAAAUAUUCACUGGUUAGAAUUGUUUCAUCCUUCAACCCCACAAAACAUGGAAUUAUUUCUAAUGUUGAUCCUUAUGUCUGUUUGUAACUAUAACUCAUUAAUAUAUGUAAAGUUCUGAAGAUAAAUAAUUCUAUUCAUUUUUUCGCCAGGAGAACUACAUAUUAAACUUUUACCUUGAGAAAUUAAUGAAUAGUUCGACAAAAUAAAAUACAAUACAACAAAACAUUUUGAUAAAUCUAUAGGAAUAUAAUAUAUUGAUUAAAGAGUUAAAUUUCUAAUAAUAAGAUUCCAAUGUAAUCUUUUUAUUAAAAUACGAGUAUCGAAUCGAAAAUAUUUUUCUAUAGAAUCACAAAAACCGAUAACAACAUAAUCGAUAAACCAAAUCAAAAUUGAAAAUCCGAUGGACGAGACUAUUCGCACCCAGGCGUGUAUGCAGCGUAUAAAAUUUUGGGAAGUUAUUGCUUUCGCCCCGAUUCGCGAAAAUUGGAAUUCCAACAGAUGUCGACAUUUUGAGGUUCUAGGAAACUAUUCUGACUAGAUUCAAGAUGAUGUCCGAGUGUAUGUAUGUAUGUACCUCUAGAACUCAAUAAAACGCGUCGAUUGCCACCUCAACCGGUGAAUUCGUUCGAGAGAUAUCGUUGUAGAAAAAAUGGUAAACGUUAUUUUUCGAAAUCAAAGGCAUACAAAAGUAUUUUCGAGCUCGAAGAGCUCAAAAAUGUAUUCUCAACAAUGAUUUCGAACUCAAGGAGCUCGAAAGCAGCGGGAAGUUUUGGGGCUGAUUCGCAGGAUCAACUGACAACAAUUUUUGUUAUUUAUUACAGUGCUUCCGUCUAAACUUAUGAUUCUAAACUUAUCUAUGUGGUCUCAUGAUAUUUAUCGAUGUUCAAGUCAAAUUAGAAUGUAUUUUGAUUUCACAAUACUGUGAAUUGUGAUACUUAAGUAAUAAAUAAAUAUCCAUAAAAAUCAA